CCUACGGGUGGCUGCAGUGGGGAAUAUUGGGCAAUGGAGGCAACUCUGACCCAGCAACGCCGCGUGAAUGAUGAAGGUCUUCGGAUUGUAAAGUUCUUUUCUAAGGGAAGAAGAAAGUGACGGUACCUUAGGAAUAAGCCUCGGCUAACUACGUGCCAGCAGUCGCGGUAAUACGUAGGAGGCAAGCGUUAUCCGGAUUUACUGGGUGUAAAGGGAGCGUAGACGGUGCGCCAAGUCUGGAGUGAAAUGCCGCAGCUUAACUGCGGAACUGCUUUGGAAACUGGCGAACUAGAGUGCGGGAGGGGUAAGCGGAAUUCCUAGUGUAGCGGUGAAAUGCGUAGAUAUUAGGAGGAACACCGGUGGCGAAGGCGGCUUACUGGACCGUAACUGACGUUGAGGCUCGAAAGCGUGGGGAGCAAACAGGAUUAGAUACCCGGGUAGUC
rnacentral:rRNA from 1 species